GACGGAGGGUGCUAGCGUUGUUCGGAAUUACUGGGCGUAAAGGGCGCGUAGGCGGCCUGUUAAGUCGGACGUGAAAUCCCUCGGCUCAACCGGGGAACUGCGUCCGAUACUGGCGGGCUUGAAUUCGGGAGAGGGAUGUGGAAUUCCAGGUGUAGCGGUGAAAUGCGUAGAUAUCUGGAGGAACACCGGUGGCGAAGGCGGCAUCCUGGACCGACAUUGACGCUGAGGCGCGAAAGCCAGGGGAGCAAACGGG
rnacentral:rRNA from 1 species